CAACGACGAACCUGUCCACGUCGUCCCCGAAUUCUUGAAGCUGGGGCGGCCGGUGACCACAACGUAGGAUUAAAAAUUGAGGGCAUUUCCGUCAUCUACACGAAUCCAAUUUGACUGCAUAUUGCGGAUUGGGGAUUUGCUUCUGGAAGCGAAGCGGAGCAGGCAUGGCCAAAGAGUUAAAAUGGAGCUGGAGCUCGGCGAUGAUCGGAGCCGCGUCGGUUCUGGCGGCAACGGCGUUAGUAUCUGCGAAGCCUAAGGACCCAACCUUCCACCUGAUAUCAAUCAGCUUCACCUCUUUGAAGCUCAACCUUCCAGUCCUGGACGCCGAGCUAAUCCUCACCGUACACGUCACCAACCCCAACGUCGCUCCCAUCCACUACUCCUCUACCUCCAUGUCCAUCUAUUAUCAGGGCUCGCUUCUGGGAUCAGCCGAGGUGCAAGCCGGCUCGCAGCCUCCCCGCUCCUGCCAGCUGCUCCACCUCCCGGCUCGGCUUCACGGCCUGGAACUGGCCCACCACGCCGCUCGCUUUGUGGCUGAUGUCGCCAAGCGUGAGAUGGUGCUCGACGCCGCCGUGGAUAUCAGUGGCACGGCCAAGGUUCUUUGGUGGGACCAUAGGUUCAAGGUGCACGUGGAUAGCCAUGUCACCGUUGAUCCGUUAUUCCUUGAUGUCAUCGAUCAGGAAAACAGCUCUGAAUUGGAGGUGUUUCCCUCAUAGGCCUUCCAAUCUAAUCUCUCUCGAACGCACGAUAUGCAGGAGCUGUGAUGCAAUUUGACAGUUCAAGGCCUACUCUUCAAUUGUUCGUUUCCAUCAUUUAUUUGAUGGGAAAAGAAGUCUCAUGAUCGUAAAUCAGUCGACUGCAAAACCCAAACGCUUCUGGUUUCAAAGCACAAGAACACGCACGGUAAGCUUGACAGAGCAAAGAAGAAGCGUCUAAAAGCUCGGGGCUUAGCUUGGGGAUAUAAAUGACGGUUUCAACUAAUGAUAUGAAGAAGGUGAAGUCGUUACUAUGGAGGAGAGAACUGCCAGAAGUUACGACAAAGGUGAAUUCGAUGGUGAAGUCUGCAACAUUUCCAGAGACACUAUCCUAAAGGUGGAUCAAUAAGAAGUACACAACUCGUCCAAAAUUAUGUAUGCUCAUCGUGAGGUUUCCUAAUUUAAUAUAUAUAUAUAUAUAUAUAUCUAUCUAUCUCUUCUAUAAAUGCAAGCUUGCUCUGUUUUGUGAUCGUGAAAUAGAGCAUGAUCCACUUAUAGACAUGCAAAGAUGGUAGAAGAUGCAUAUGGUGAAAUAUCAUCAUAGGGAGGAGAAAGAGAAGGGGAUAAAGUAAACAUGCAAAGAUGGUGGAAUAUGCAUACAUACAUACAUCGUCUAUCUGCAUAGUACCCUCUUAAUUCCCAUGACACCAUGUCUAUAAGCACGGGUGCAUAUUUCUUUGGAGCUUUGAGGGCAAGAGUGUACGACAAUAAAGUAAGGAAAUGGAUAUCAGGGAUAAGAGUGAAGGGUGUGGUGAAGAAGUUGGUAAAUUUAAAGGAAGGGCCACUAAUUGACAUUUGCGUAAUCAAAGAUGGUGGUAGACAAUGAUCAAACCUUAUAGUGGCUAUGAAUACCUAAAAAGCUCUUCGACGAAGCCAUACAACCCUAAUGACGAUGAUGAGCAGUAUUGCUAAUAUAGGGAUGAUAGUUAGCUUACCAAAAUACACUUAAGGGUACUGGUUGCUUUUAAAGCUUUCAGCACUAAUGAAUAUAGACAUGGGUGAGAGGAUGACUUGUGACUUAGCCUUCUUCAUCAAGAGUGAGAGGGUUCGAAGGGGAUGAGGGGGAGAGAGAGAGAAAGUGAAGGAGAGAGUAUGAUUUUUAUUAUAAAAAUAUUAAAAAAAUUAUGGGACCUAUGAUUAGAGCUUGUAAUUCGAGCUUGCCUGAAAAAAUGUGGGGUGACCUAGAAAAAAGAUGUUUUUUUAUGUUUGGGCUCAUUGGAGUGGACUAAGUCCGAUUAAGUUUGGACUUAGCCCGAAUACUUAAAUAAAAAAAUUAUACCUUUAAAAGUAUGAUCAAGCUUGACUCGAAUAAAAAAUUAUACAUUUAAAAAAAAAAAUAUAUAUAUAUAUAUAUAAUAAAUAUUAAUUAAUGCUUUAAUUUUUAUGUUAUGUUAUAUUAAAAACUAAAAUACCAUAUAUUUGAGCUUAUACACCAUUUAAGUGUAAAAAAAAUUAUAUUUUUUAUAAAAUAAAAUAUUAAUUUCAAAGUAAAAAAUUUAAUUAAAAAUAAUUUUAAAAAUUAAAAUUUGGGUAUUUGAGCCACCUAAAACUCAAAGGAAUUUGGGCUGGGCUUCGGGCUUGAUCAUUCUGGCUUUUCAAGAAGUUAGGCUUAUUUAAGUUGAGCCCGAGCUCGCCUAAAUUCUCACCUGUACCUAUGAUUGAUAGAUGAUCAUUUGGAAAUUUUAAUGUUAGGGUGAAGAGACAACAAAAUUUCAUGUGUUGAGAAAUUUGAAUGAUUUAUAUUUGAGUUUAAAGUUAUUUGUGAACUUUUAUAUACACUUUAGAGACAAAAAUGACUCUUAACCUUAAUACUUUUUGUAUUAUUUUCUGGGUCUAAAUGGUAGCAACAUACUAAAGAUCUACUAUUACUUUACAAGUGAACAGGAAACAAGAUUUCCUUUUGUAACAUCCUUAAAAUUUAAACAUGUUAAGCUUGAUUAGAGUAAUUAAGUUCAUUAGUGAGGUGUGUAACCAGAAAGGUCUAACAAAUGUGUUUGAUUAUAAUUUUAGUUUUAAAUACAGGUUCAAAGUAAAGUCAAGUUAUGUCCAUGAAAGAGGAAGAAAAUCUGAAGGGUGAGGUUUUAUACCAUAAGCCACUGCUUGUAGAUAAUUUGCCUCAGCAUAUGUGAGCUAAUGUUCCUGGGCAAGACUUCUCUGUGCCAUCUGCCAUAGCGCAUGAUGCAUUCGUCAUAGUACAUGACCACUUUUUUACAGAAAUAAGAACGCAAACUAAUGUAGAAGAUGAGAAAAACAAAAGAGUAAAUGAAGAAAAAUGCAAGGAGCUCUGCUAAGGCUUGAGAUUUGAAAGCAUUUAGAGUAUUUUGAAAUUUUUAAACACUAAAAGUAAAUUUCUUAAGCUUGAAUCUAUCUUUCUCUUCCACUUUCUUGAUGUUGGAAGUCAGAGAUUGGUUAGGAAUGAUGAUUUUCAGUUCAUAGAGAUUAUGAGUCCGAACUUAUUGACUUGCACAGAGUUAAUGUGAUUUGUUUGAACUAUUUAAACCUAACAUUUAUGGCUCAAUAUGUUAUUGGUUGUUGGAAGCCAUAAAUGAAUGAAAAUCCCACCAUAAAUAUAAUAGUUGGGACAAUAUGGCUCUAUUAAUAGUUAUUUAAGAGCCUAAUGAAGCUAAUAGAAGUUAAGGAGAGCCAAGAAACACUAUAGGUACCCAUACAUGAAAGGAGAUUGAAUCUUAGAAGUGAAGAAGUAUUUGAGUUAAUAGUGAAAAUUAUCUAAGAAUGGCUAUAUUGUUCACCUUCUUGUUUUGCUUUCUCUUGCUCUACUUCUGCAGAGCGGUAACAAUCAGAUGCAUAUUCAAUUAAUGUUGACAUGUUCAAGGAAAACUACAAAAGGCCAUAAAUGCCAUCAGAAAACAAUGAUUGGAUUCUCACAUAAGGAUUACAUUCAUAGCAAUUAGAUGAUUAAAAGAUUGAAGAACCUUACCUUCUUUUGCUUCCCUCCAGACUUAGCAGGCUUUGAGGAUAGAGGGGGACCUUUACUAUCUUUCUUGGGUGCUUGCAAGUGGUAAAGAAUCUAAGAAUAUGAACAAAAAUCUUGAGAGAAUUAUGUUUACACAGAAUUUUGGUCUUACCAUUCAGCUUCAAAAAAUUUUAAGACAAAGCAUGGGAAGCCAUGAUAACUAAUAACUAAUGAGAGCCAUGUGUUAUGUCGUCUUUUUAAACUACCAAAUGAGGUUUUGUAUUUUGUGUGUGUUUUUUUAUAUAAGAAGAUUUUGUGAAGUAGAUAAUUCUACCAAUGUGUUCUGCUGUCUUUUUAAACUGCCAAACGAGGUUUGAUUUUGUGUGUGUGUGUGUGUGUUUUUUUUUUUUAAUAUAACAAGAUUUUGUGAAGUAGAUAAUUCUAGUAAAGGUGCAACUGUGGAGCUUGGGUCUAGCCUAGCGAGUAACUAGUAAGGCCCAAAUUUCAUGCACUGUCGGCCUCAUUAUCAAAAACCAAAUUUUAACCAAUGAAUAUUAGCUCAAAUGAUAAAGGGUUUGAGUUUACUCAACUAUCAACUCUUGAAUUUGAUCUCUGAGGUGAAAGAAAUGGAGAACAUUUAUUUGGGCUAGCCACCCUUUGUGGAGCCCUGUAAUGCUUGAAUUCAGAAUAGUCAUACCAAAAAAAAAUUGCCAAAGAAAAUUCAAUUUUUAAUAGUUAAAACAAGUUGCGGAUGAGAAGUCUUUUAAAAAAAAGCAAAAAAAAAAAAAUCACUGAAGAUAAGUUCAACGGUAAGUUAAAAUAAAAUUAAAAAAAGUUUAAAAUAUUCUCUUACUGACCAUUAAUUAUUAAUAAUUAUGCAUACUGCUAUAUGCAAGUAACACAAAUUUAUAAUAGACAAAUGUAGUUAAUCAAUUAAAUGUUGAUGUAAUUAUAUGAUGUUAAACUCAGUGCUUAUUGCUGGUAAAAAAAAAAAAAAACUCAGUGCUUAUUUGUGAAUUUUUGAACUCUUCAAAUCAUUGUCCGGUUAGAAUAUUUCCAAAUUCCAACAACCACAAGAAAUGUAUUAUCCGACAAACAAGAUACAAGACAAAUGGACAUAAAUAUAUCUCAGUCACUUUUAGGGAAAAGUAUAUGUAAUUAAAGAGGGGAAAAUCUCUCGCCUGGGAAAAGAAUAUCAUAAUAAACGGAAUCCUUAUCUUUUUAAAAUAAAUUAUAUAUAAAUUUCAUAAAGCAUACUUAUUUAUAAACAAAUCUCGUCAAAUUUAAAAAUUACAUUUAAAUCUUUUAAAAUAUAAGUGUAAUUUAAAUUUGAGAUGCAAAAAUAAUACUAUUUCUAUUAAAAAUAAGGAAGUUAUAAUUGUAAAAUAUUGAAGUAUGAAUUGUAAAUUACUAAUGUGAU